UUAGGUAUUGGGUUGGAUAAGGGCUGUAGAAUAAGGUCAUGUAGAAUAUGUGCUUUAUAAGUACUAAUAAACAGCCAAUGUGCUAGUUAUAUGCAUUCUAAUAAGCAACUAGUUAAUAGAGUGAAAUUUCCAUAUAAAUGUCCCUAUUAUGAAGUGUUACCUAUUUAUGUAAAUGCAUACAAUUUAUAGGUAUAUAAAUUGUGUACUGUCCAUUAUUUUCAAUUGCUGUACAGUUCAACAAAAAAGGAAAAAGGCACUGUAAAAGCAUGUAACAAUUAAUUAAACCGUGAAUAUACUGAUCGGGUAUAUUUGAUGAAACUAAACUUGACAUACCAAAAAUUACAAUGUAAAUCACAAAAAUUUGAAAUAAAUAAAACUUGUGUUAUUGAUUUAUUUACAUUUUGAAUUUAUUAUUAUUAUUUUUUUAUUAUUGAACCAAGCUGGUAGGCAAAUGUGGGUAGUCAGAUGUUAAUGAGCUCAUAAUUGUGAGAUCAUAAUACAAAUUGUUAUGACUUCUUUAAUCGUGAUUUCAGUGUUACUCUCAUCUUUAUGUUCACAGGCAGAGCCUGAAGGAUUCUCUCAUUUCCAUUUAUACGUGUGCGCUGCCUUCCUGGUGCGAUGGAGGAAAGAGAUACUAGAGGAAAAGGAUUUCCAGGGUCUGAUGAUUCUGCUCCAGAAUCUACCCACGAUGCACUGGGGAAAUGAGGAAGUUAGCGUUCUCCUAGCUGAAGCUUACCGGCUGAAGUUUGCCUUUGCCGAUGCCCCUAACCAUUACAAAAGAUGAGGCUUCGCCCAGCACAAUCACUGAAUAUGAUGAGCCCUACUGACCUCGGAGGCGCAACUGUCUGUGUAAUGAUACUGAACUGAAACCGUGACAUUUUUAUGGAGAUGGGAAUAUGGUCUGCAGCUGUUCCUGGAAUUUUUCCGCUUUUCUACUAAUAUUAGCACUCCGAAUGCCAUGAGUCACCCAGAUGUCAAAAUCACGCUCUCUUGAAAUACACUAAUUUAAUCUUUGUUUCUUAGGCUUUUCUAUUUUUAAUUUAAUCACAACCUUUACCAAGAUUUUCUUUUUCUUUCUCUCCACGCACUGUUCAUUUAGACGGCAAGAUACUAGGAAGUAACAGCAAUAGUAGGAUGGAUUCUGGUCCAAUUGAUUCAUGGCAAUAAGACGACGUCAUUCAAAAAACAUGGUUUAUAAAGAUUUGCAGUAAGAUCGUUUGGCUUAAACGGCGCCUACGAACACUUAUUCUAACCUUGGUCUACCUCAGGAAGCGGCCAGGAUUCGUAGGGUGUUCAUUUUGUCUCUGUAUGUGAACAGUGCCCAUGAGGCUUUGCAGUGGAGUCAAUAAAAUUUGCCUUAUUUUGACUGUUUGAGAUUUGCAAGGCAUAGGUUCAGUUAACGAAGGCAGCUGGAGAUGCAAGCUGAAGAACUGAUUCAAUUUUUGCUUUCCCUGUUACUCCAUGGCCCUGUCAUUUUGACAUCCCAUUUUGACAUUGAUAUAAUAAUCCGUACUGACUGUACAAUGCUGUCAUUAAUAGAUGUGUUUGGGGAUAUCAGCUUCUAACUUUUGACAUUUUGUCAGUAUUUGAACUGUGCACUGCUUCAGUCAUGUCAUCAGGCUUUUUAAUUUGUGUGCCAGUUCUUACAACUAAAUAUAAGUGAAACUGCAUUUGAUAAGUCUAUUUUCCUCCUUUUUGUAAAAGAUAUAAUCUAUGAAUCUGCUUUUUUAAAUUCUUUCUUCUUUUUUUAUAUACUGUUUACAUGAUCCUGUUAAGUUGUGCCUAACUCUAGAGACUGAUGACAUCACAGAUAUUUAUUUUGCAUUCAUGAUCAUUUAGGAUGUGGCAAAGCAGAACAUUUGCCUUGACAACAUACUCCUACAUAAGCAGUGAAUUCAGCAGCUCUACUGCUCUCCUUCGGCUGUUUGAUGGGCCGUAGAAUUGAAGGAAUUUACUGUAACUGACAUUCAGUGCCUGGACAACAUGGAGUUACAGUACGAGCUAUGUGGGGUUUUCUGGACACCAAGCUUCUUGACUUAGUUUCUUGACUUCAAACUACAGAAAUGUCAGAAUGGAUUUUAAAAAGAGGUGCGAGUGAAAUGUUCUAAAAUGUUCUUGAAUUAAAUAGCUGUGUACAGAAUUAUGUUUUCGAAGAGAUGUAAAUAGAAAAAAAUAAUGUGUAAAUAAAUACUAUAUAUAUGGUUAUAA